rnacentral:rRNA from 1 species
CCUACGUGGUGCAGCAGUGAGGAAUAUUGGUCAAUGGGCGCGAGCCUGAACCAGCCAAGUAGCGUGAAGGAUGACUGCCCUACGGGUUGUAAACUUCUUUUAUAAAGGAAUAAAGUGAGGCACGUGUGCCUUUUUGUAUGUACUUUAUGAAUAAGGAUCGGUUAACUCCGUGCCAGAAGCCGGGGUAAUACGGAGGAUCCGAGCUUUAUCCGGAUUUAUUGGGGUUAAAGGGAGGGUGGAUGGGUUGUUAAGUCAGUUGUGAAAGUUUGCGGCUCAACCGUAAAAUUGCAAUUGAUACUGGCAGCCUUGAGUACAGUUGAGGUAGGCGGAAUUCGUGGUGUAGCGGUGAAAUGCUUAGAUAUCACGAAGAACUCCGAUUGCGAAGGCAGCCUACUAAACUGCCACUGACAUUGAUGCUCGAAAGUGUGGGUAUCAAACAGGAUUAGAUACCCCGGUAGUC